GAUUUUCUGUGUAACUGUACUCGAAAGAAAUGUCUGUCUGUGUACUGUGUAUAUAAUACAAGGAUAUGGAAAUUCCUAAGGAACCUAACAUAACUAAGAAAUAAUCAAACGGUAAAGAAUGAAAUAAGAACUGUAAUGAAGGCAAAAGUGAAAGAGUUCAACUGAGGUGAACCAUUCCCUGAAGAUGAUGGCUCCCCAAAUACAUUAGGAUUGUUGCUAUUCCCUGCGGUGGCUUCUGGAUUCACUGUUGUAGAUGGUGAUCCUCCAGGAGUUAUUGGGUUGACAGGUAGGAUGUUGGUGUCUAAAAGAUCAUAACAGUUUGAUGGCUUCCAACCCAAUACAUUCCUUUCACGAUCAAAAACUAUGCGAUAACCCGUCAUGAAAUUUUGUCCAAU
rnacentral:misc_RNA from 1 species